rnacentral:misc_RNA from 1 species
GAUGAAGAACGUAGCGAAAUGCGAUAAGUAGUGUGAAUUGCAGAAUUCAGUGAAUCAUCGAAUCUUUGAACGCACAUUGCGCCCCAUGGUAUUCCGUGGGGCAUGCCUGUUCGAGCGUCAUUUACCCCCUCAAGCUCCGCUUGGUGUUGGGCGUCUGUCCCGCUUCGCGCGCGGACUCGCCCCAAAGGUAUUGGCAGCGGUCGUGCCAGCUUCUCGCGCAGCACAUUGCGCUUCUCGAGGUACCGGUGGGCCCGCGUCCAUCAAGCUCACCCCCCCAGUUUGACCUCGGAUCAGGUAGGGAUACCCGCUGAACUUAAGCAUAUCAAUAAGCGGAGGA